UUCGAUCUGGCUCAGGACGAACGCUGGCGGCAUGCUUCAUACAUGCAAGUCGAACGAUAAGGUCUCUUCGGAGAUACAUAAGUGGCGGACGGGUGAGUAAUAUGUAGGAAAUCUGCCCUAGAGAGGGGGACAACAGAGGGAAACUUCUGCUAAUACCCCAUAUGAGCGUACCUGAAAUGGUAUUCUUGAAAACUCCGGUGCUCUAGGAUGAGCCUGCAUCUGAUUAGCUAGUUGGCGGUGUAAUGGACCACCAAGGCGACGAUCAGUAGUUGGUUUGAGAGGAUGAUCAGCCACAAUGGGACUGAGACACGGCCCAUACUCCUACGGGAGGCAGCAGUAGGGAAUUUUGCGCAAUGGGCGAAAGCCUGACGCAGCAAUGCCGCGUGAACGUAGAAGCCCUUCGGGGUGUAAAGUUCUGUCAGUGGGGACGAAUUUUGACGGUACCCACAGAGGAAGCACCGGCUAACUCCGUGCCAGCAGCCGC
rnacentral:rRNA from 1 species